rnacentral:lncRNA from 1 species
AUGAACAAAGCUAGUGGAGGUGAUGAAAUUCCAGUUGAGCUAUUUCAAAUCCUGAAAGAUGAUGCUGUGAAAGUGCUGCACUCAAUAUGCCAGCAAAUUUGGCAAACUCAGCAGUGGCCACAGGACUGGAAAAGGUCAGUUUUCAUUCCAAUCCCAAAGAAAGGCAAUGCCAAAGAAUACUCAAACUACUGCACAAUUGCACUCAUCUCACAUGCUAGGAAAGUAAUGUUCAAAAUUCUCCAAGCCAAGCUUCUACAAUACAUGAACCAUGAACUUCCAGAUGUUCAAGCUGGUUUUAGAAAAAGCAGAGUAAUCAGAGAUCAAAUUGCCAACAUCUGCUGGAUCAUGGAAAAAGCAAGAGAGUUCCAGAAAAACAUCUAUUUCUGCUUUAUUGGCUAUGCCAAAGCCUUUGACUCUGUGGAUCACAAUCAACUGUGGAAAAUUUCGAAAGAGAUGGGAGUACCAGAACACCUGACCUGCCUCUUGAGAAACCUGUAUGCAGGUCAGGAAGCAAGAGUUAGAACUGGACAUGGAACAACAGACUGGUUCCAAAUAGGAAAAGGAGUACGUCAAGGCUGUAUAUUGUCACCCUGCUUAUCUAAUGUAUAUGCAGAGUACAUCAUGAGAAAUGGUGGGCUGGAGGAAGCACAAGCUGGAAUCAAGAUUGCCGGGAGAAAUAUCAAUAAGCUCAGAUAUGCAGAUGACACCACCCUUAUGGCAGAAAGUGAAGAGGAACUAAAAAGCCUCUUGAUGAAAGUGAGAGAAGAGAGUGAAAAAGUUGGCUUAAAGCUCAACAUUCAGAAAACGAAGAUCAUGGCAUCUGGUCCCAUCACUUCAUGGGAAAUAGAUGUGGAAACAGUGGAAACAGCGUCAGACUUUAUUUUUUUGGGCUCCAAAAUCACUACAGAUGGUGAUUGCAUUCAUGAAAUUAAAAGACUCUUAGUCCUUGGAAGGAAAGUUAUGACCAACCUAGAUAGUGUAUUGAAAAGCAGAGACAUUACUUUGCCAACAAAGGUCUGUCUAGUCAAGGCUAUGGUUUUUCCAGUGGUCAUAUAUGGAUGUGAGAGUUGGACUGUGAAGAAAGCUGAGCACUGA